GGAGACAAAGCUCCCUCCUGUGUGUCCCUGGUGGUCUAGUGGCUAGGAUUCGGCGCUUUCACCGCCGCGGCCCGGGUUCGAUUCCCGGCCAGGGAAUUGUUUUACACUGGCCGCCCUCCCGCAGGAAUCUUCCUUCACUACGCUGUCAGCCGGCCUGCUCCAAGGGCCAGAAGCAGAACAGUCUCCGCAGCGGGGUUAAAGCCGGGCGAAGGAGGGCAAGUGCUGGUGGACCACCUCUCACGACACACCGUUCCUGUUUAUCUCAGUGUCCGUCAUCCGCGGGAGCAGCUUUAGAGAGCGACUGAGCGUCUCGCUCCGGUGUACACAGCCCGGCAAAGAUGCCAGCCCCCGUGGAGCUGCACCCAAUAAGCCCACCUUCUUUCCCGUCGCCACCCCGGAGACGCCCAUCGGGCUGAGCUGCGAAUAACUAAGAGAGAGGCCAAGCCAAGUCGUGGCGUUUGUGGCAGCCCCGGACACGGGCACCAGCCAGUCAGCGGAGCCUCCUCACCUCCGUUGCCAGCGAAGGCGCUCGUUAGGCCUUGGGAAGAGGCGACCGGAGGCGAUGCCCGCGAAUUUGUUAGGGGGAGUUGCUGAUCCCUGUGAUUUCCUCCAUGUGGGAAACGGUGUUUGUGCUAGAAGAGGCUGCGCUCUUUACCUGACAUAACGGGGUUCAAGACUGACAACGCCUCACGCCCACCCGAAAACGUUUACAUGGCUUCCUUGUCUCUUUUUUUUUCUGUCCUAAAGUCGCCUCAUCUUCACAUCCCCUCUUUUUUUUCUUCCACACUCGAGAGUGUCUCUCUCUCUCAGUAAAAGCUCCACCAAAUAUUUGAAAUAUCUCAACCAGAAAGACUGCAAUAAAUACAUUAUUUCAUUCGUGGAA
rnacentral:lncRNA from 1 species